UGUCCCGGGUGCUGCCACAGCCGCUGCGCGCCAGCGUCAGCGAGGGGCAGACUGGGGAGACCUCGGCGAGGCGGGAAGCGUGGCCCAGAGGAGUUUUCUGUGUGCAUCGAUUGGGGUUUUGUUUGAGGUCUGGCUCCAGCUGAGGGGAAGGAAGCGGGGUUCCCGCGCCGUUUUCCUCCAAGCAGGUGCUGAGGUCACUGCGACCUCGAGAGCUCGCGCCCCGGGCGGGCAUCAGGCGCCGUUCACGAGCCUGGGGAGGGGACGGCGGGGGAAGGGCUCCUACCCGCUGAUGGGCUCAUUUCAGCGCCUUGGUAGAACCUGACGCCUGCCUGCUGAACCGCGCCGUACCCGGGGGCGCACCGUUCCUGCGUAGCCAAGGGCUAGAUCGCGGGACCCACCGUCCAGGCUCUGAGUGACGGCUGGGGAGAAUGACUGCUGAUUGAGGCAAUUAAAAUCCACGCUGGAGUCUACUGAGGACCUCGGGCUGGGGAAAAAAAAAUAAAACGAAUGGAAACUUCUUGGAAGAGAAUGAGGCAGAGCGGCCAGAGUCGGCAGGAUUGAUGGCGGGUGGGGGAUGGAAUCAGGGCAUUUGGUGACCUUGGCCCGCGGAGGCGUGGAAGCGCCCGCUGCUUGCGUGUAAGGGGGAUCUGUGUGCGCCUGGGAGGGGAGAACAGGGUUUCCAACUAAGCAAUCUCGGCUUUACAAAUCCGAGUAGGAAAGAAGGCAUCGCCUGCAGGGCCCUCGUUUUAAGGGGCUUCAAACCAAUGCCCCCCCUCGCCCCCAGAGAAUCUUCGCGGUAGCGGGUGACCCGGAAGCGCGAGAUUGGUUCUCUCUGAGGCGUAUUAGGAGGCGGUUUCUCUUUUUCUAAUAAAGAAAGGAGGAGAAAGUCAGAAUCGUUCUGAUGAUUUCCUUUCUACAAAAAGCUAUUGCAGACAGGGAGGACGCCCUAAGGAUUGGGAGCCCUUUGACAGUUUGCGCUGCGUUCUCCUGGCAGUGGAGAUGAACUUCAAGUGCACCUCGGAGCUCCGGGGCUCUGGGGGAGACGGAGGGAGGGAGAGAGAGGAAAGGGCUGAGGUCGGCUUCCCGAGGCGGCUGCCUUCCCCGCGCCUGGCCAGAGCGCCUGUCAUUUCCAUUGUGUUCACAAGUCGUUUUAUUUCUCUGACCUCCUGAACCAGCCACCAAAGCUGCUAACAAAGCAGAGACCCGGGGAUCCCGUCUGGGCGAGCACCCCUCGACCCUCGCUUAGAAGGGACAUCCUGGGGCCCAUGCUGGACGCAUACAGGCCCAAGUCCUGUGUGCUCGAGCAUAACUGUCCCUGGUCAAUUCUCUCCACAAAGCGCUGUCUUCUUCUCGCGUGCCUGAGUCCAGGGGUUCCCUGAGGAGUCAUGGGAUCCACACUAUGGCAACUGGGCCCAGGCGCCAGGAUGAGAGCAGGAAACCAGUCGGGCGUUGAUAGCGUCCUGCCGAAGGCUGGCACUGAGCGUGCUAGGUGAAGUCUGUUCCAGGCUGUGGGAGCCCGGGUGGUCGAAAACUCAGGGCUCAGUUUGGCUCCUCUUUCUUGCUCUCCUGGCUCUGACACUCUAGGUCACCACAAUAACAACUCCGGAAACCUAAAGACUUGUGGUUCAGCCAUCUGCACUUCAGGCAUGGCAGCUCCGCAGCUCUCUCCAGCCUCGCAGAGGCUGGUUCUUUGUUGAAAUCCAUAUCAAAUCCUGCAAAGGUUUUCCUUCAAGCCAGCAGUCUAGGGUUGCAGAACUUUUCUACUAUGGAUGAGUGGUUGAAAACAUAAAGGUUCUUAAAAGCAAGCGUUUAAAUCACACAAAACCCCCAAAGAAGAAACGGAUUAAAACACCUGAAUUUAACUGAUUUUUUUUUCUUUUUGGUAAAGCAAUGGCUUCAAGUGCUACCGUUUAAACUCCAUUAAAUCCCACAGCUCUGGAGUACUUUGGAUCUAAUGGUGAUAUUUACAUUUUUUAUUUAAACACACCCUACUUCAGAUGCAGAUGGAGAUCUGAUUUGUCUUUCCUGAAGGCUGUCCCUCCCUAGACGGUAAUUUGCUUUGUAAUGACUUUCAUUUCACUAAAGAGCCCAUUCCCCCUCUCCGGGGCUUGGGGUUGGAGAUAACAAAAGAGCUCUGGGAGGUAAUAAUUACAGUCAUUAGUUCACAAAGGAGGCAGCCAGUGAAUGGGAAGGGAAGGCGGCCGCUUUGGAAGGCCCUUCCUCAGAUGAGGGGCGAGAGACCCAAUCCUCCGACUUGUAGGGACAGUUUCCUUAGGUGUCUGGUUUACCAACAUAUGGGUCUCAGGCUGACCCAAAGAAGAGUGUCUGGCACACAUUUUCCUGUGUCCUUCCCGUGCUUAAAUGUCAAAGGACAGAGAAAGAAGGGAAGAUGGAAAGAAAAAGAGGAAACAACCACGGAAGAACACAAAAAUAUUGCAACCAAGCAUUCACCAAGCCUUUGCCAUUCUCUUUUCUAUUCUCACUUAAAACAUUGGUGCAGGAAAAAUUUAGGGAGGGAGUCUGUUGCCUCCCUCCAUAAAUUCUCCCUACACCAACAGAAAUAACAGAAGGGGCUGAGUGCCAGGGCUCUUGUCUUCAGGGGCCACCCAAGAAGGACGCCUAGAUUGAAGGGUGGCCAGGCAGAAAAGCUGAGCUUAGCUUACUGCUCCUUACCCCUGGCCCCUGCUCCGCCCUCCCCACAAACCCAGGCCUUCUGGAGGCAAGUGGACAGGCAGCUAGAGGUGGAAGGGGGCCAGGCCACUUUGGGCUUUAGACACCCCUGCCCCUCCCAAGCCCCUCUCUCUGGUGACCUGCUGUGCUGGUUUCCUGGGUACUGGGCCAUACUCAGCUCCUCAGUGCAUUCGCACAGCUGAGGGUUACUCCUUACUUUCAGUCGCAACCCCAGCAAGACUGUGCCGCUAACCCAGGGAAAAAGAAGGCCUGGAGGGCACUUGGACUCUGCCAUGCCAUAGCUGCAGGUUUUCCCUUGGCCACAUUGCAUCUGUAAAAUGAAGAGAUUACACGAGUUGGCUCUGGGGACCUUUUGGUGCCAACUCUUUGAGUUGGCGAGAUUACUAUGCCCUGUGGACCAGCGGCGCAACAAACGCUCUGAGCCCUCUGCACAUGCCCUCACUCACUCCUCGAAUAUUUCCCCAGAGUCUUUUGACUCCGGCUUGUGGGUGCAGGAGCCAAGGGCACCCACACAAGGGGUGAGCCCCAUCGUGAUCAGAACCCUUCUUCCAAUUCCAUGCAACGACCUCAUCACCUGUCCUCACCCUCUCCAGGUUGCUUAGAUGGGAAUGUCAGUUUCAUAAAACAGCUUAAACCGGGUUUUAGAAUAAGGUGCAGUCAACCCAGGAAUGCAAACUUCUGUCCACCCACUAGCCUCCCCCAUUUUAAAUACACACAAAGUCGGAGUAGCAAAGAUGGCCCCAAAUCUGCAGACCGGGAGAACCUGAAAUCUGACAGUUCCACCCAGUGGGGGCACUAGCAUCUUUAUAGAUGGGGCCAAAGACAGUCACGCAGAUUGGGAAGGCAUCGUGCAGGCGAGCACGUGUGGUGUGUUGGGGAUUUAGACAUUGGAGGCCUCUGCGUUUGUGUGGCAAGGGGUUUUAGCUUAGAUUGUGUUUGUCUGAAGUGGCUGGGUGGUGCUGGGAGUUCGCUGAUGAAGGCACCUCAACGCCCCUCCUUGGGCCCGUCACCAGCACAGCCUUAUAGCAGAAGCCCCUCAGAAGCCCUAGAGGGGAAAAUGAGGGAUCAGUCACGCAAA
rnacentral:lncRNA from 1 species